CUUAGGAAUAAUCUUUCUAUCAAACAAUGUGGAUUUUUUUUUAAUGUGUUACUAUACAAUUUUUGCCGAUACUGUUAUCGCGUCUGAAUACACGCGAAGAACGUUUCUGAGAAAUUUUCUUGCGUGACGUUGUUCGAUAUUUCCUGCUAAAACGGUGGCCUUGUAUGAAAUUACCGUGGGUGAAUCGAAUCGAUUUCGAGCCAAAUAUCUCGUUCUUGCGAAGCUGCGUUCCUUCGCGCCUCGGCCUUCUCGUUUCGUGGCCAUCCCAGUUAUUUUUGUGUGUACACCCACUCACAGCAGUCUCGAGGUUUUCUUUGUAUAACAUUAAAAGAACGAGAGUAGAUAAUUGUAAAUUGUUUUCCUAUUUUAAAUUUAAGACAUACGAGUGACUCUGUUCUUUGUAUAAUGAUCUCUCCUUGCAUUGGAAUCUUUUUGUUUGUAUUGGUUAAUUAUCAUCUAAAGCUCGAGUUUGACAAAUGGCUAAGUGCAUGAAUAAUUGAUUCUGUUUGAAUGACUACGGAAAUUAGCUUAGAGCAGGCAGGAUCGUAGAUUCAAUAUUUAACGGUUUCUUCAUAUGAGAACUAUGGUUUUACAUAAAAGUUGACCCUUCCCGUAAAGCCGGGUCGUGAACUACACGCGUCACAUACGAAAUUUCAUAUCCGAAGGUCGCGAGGAGUGCCAGAUAACCUUCACACUUAAAGGUUCUCUCGAUUAUUCCUGGUUCCUAUGAGGCCUCUCGCAAUCUGAAAUUUUCCAUCGGUACAAAAGAGAUUGCCAGUAAUUAAAAGGGUUAUCUGACGAUCCUUAGUCACGAUGGAACAGAUUUAUUCCGAUUUCUCACUAUUAAGAAAAAUACAUUAUCUCGUGAAUUCAUUAAAUGAAUUGAUCGUUUUUUAAAUAGCGAUUUGCAAUUCGUACAACGAUCUAUCAUGAAAGACUUCUGAAUGUUUAUAAGAAGCCACUUUGUUUGUCAAUUAUUAUUUAUGUAAUUCUUUGUUGUCGCCACGCGCUCCGUCCGAAUGGUUCGAGGCAAGGGGCAUUAUGAAAAUACGUGAUAAAAACCAACGUUUAUUUUACGUUUCAUGUAAUCGGGCCUGUCGACCAGUUUAUGCGUCACCGACACAAUUUAUCGCUUGCUAAUUAAUCCAUAAUUCCCAGUAAAAGUUUUCAUCGUCAGGCUACAGGUUUUAUGGAUUUACAAGGAAAUUAAGUUUGGAUUAAACGUGAAUAAUACAUGCAGUGGGUAAAAGUGCGUAACAGGAAAAUGCAUGCAAGCAUGAAAGGAGAUUCUUAUUCUCGGUACAUAAUUCUGUAUUUAAAUAAGAGUUUUCGGUCUUUUUCUGAAGAACUAGACGUGACUAAUCGUGACACCCGGUACAAUCGCGGUCCAUUGAAGCGUGUUUUCAUCGCCACGAGCGUUUGAAGUCGGAUUAACUUUGUAUUGUCCAUCCCGGCCGGUCCCAUUAUCCGGCCGAUUGACGUAUCUAAUUGCAUCAAUUGCGCAACAAAUGGAAAUUAGGCUGCUGCGCGGUGGUCAAUGCCGUGCGCUGGGGUCAAACGUCUACGCGCACGCGUCUCGUUUCUCAUUUUUCGCGCCCCGAACAGGGAAUUACGAAUUGCGAGAUUUAUGGAAAGUCGAUGUUUUAUAGGAAAGUCAAUUUUAUAUAGGAAAAUAUAAUGGAAAGUAGAUUUACUUAAUGUACCAUAGGAUAUAUACAUAAGUUUUAUAGUUAAAUGGAAUUAGAAAUCAAUUCUAUUUAAUGCAUAAAAAGAAGGAAUUGAUUAGGUAGCAAAUCUAAAUAGAAUCAAAUCUGAAUUUCAUGUCUUCAUUAAAGUUUUUUUUUGUAUUGUACAUAAAAAGU